CACGUAGGGCGCAAGCGUUGUCCGGAAUUAUUGGGCGUAAAGAGCUCGUAGGCGGUCUGUUGCGUCUGCUGUGAAAACCCGGGGCUUAACCCCUGGCUUGCAGUGGAUACGGACAGACUAGAGGUAGGUAGGGGAGAAUGGAAUUCCCGGUGUAGCGGUGAAAUGCGCAGAUAUCGGGAGGAACACCGGUGGCGAAGGCGGUUCUCUGGGCCUGUGCUGACACUGAGAGACGAAAGCUAGGGGAGCGAAUGGG
rnacentral:rRNA from 1 species